UACGUAGGGACCGAGCGUUGUCCGGAAUCAUUGGGCGUAAAGAGCGUGUAGGCGGCUUGCUAAGUCUUGCGUGAAAUCUCGGGGCUCAACCCCGAGCGGUCGUGGGAAACUGGCAGGCUAGAGUGCGGGAGAGGAGAAUGGAAUUCCUGGUGUGGCGGUGAAAUGCGCAGAUAUCAGGAAGAACACCCGUGGCGAAGGCGGUUCUCUGGAACGCAACUGACGCUGAGACGCGAAAGCGUGGGGAGCAAACAGG
rnacentral:rRNA from 1 species